rnacentral:rRNA from 1 species
CCCUACGGGCGCACCAGGCGGAGGACCCAGCAACUCGACGACCGUCGCUACCGGCACAGGAGCAUACGUACUGGCUGACGGCGAAACACUCAGCGGAGGUACGUACACAUCGACCAAUGCAGACGAGAAUGCGAUCCGGGCGGAAGGCGACGUUACCGCAUCACUCGAUGGCGUGACGGUUGAAAAGACCGAUGGUGCAGCUUCGAGUAGCGACGCGAGCAGCUUCUACGGACUUGACGCGGCGAUCCUGGCACUCGAUAAUGCCACAUUGACGAUUACAGGCGGCACCGUUACCGCGACGGCGGAAGGCGCUAACGGCGUCUUUGCCUAUGACGGCGCAACGAUCAACAUUUCGGAUACCGUGAUCAAUGUUUCCGGUGGAAAUGCCGGAGGAAUCGAAGUGGCGGGAGAGC